rnacentral:rRNA from 1 species
AUCUUCCGCAAUGGGCGAAAGCCUGACGGAGCAACGCCGCGUGAGUGAUGAAGGGUUUCGGCUCGUAAAACUCUGUUAAAAGGGAAGAACAAAUGUGUAAGUAACUGUGCAAAUCUUGAAGGUACCUAAUCAGAAAGCCACGGCUAACUACGUGCCAUCAGCCGCUGUAAUACGUAGGUUGCAAGCGUUAUCCGGAAUUAUUGGGCGUAAAGCGCGCGUAGGCGGUUUCUUAAGUCUGAUGUGAAAGCCCACGGCUCAACCGUGGAGGGUCAUUGGAAACUGGGAAACUUGAGUGCAGAAGAGGAAAGUGGAAUUCCAUGUGUAGCGGUGAAAUGCGCAGAGAUAUGGAGGAACACCAGUGGCGAAGGCGACUUUCUGGUCUGUAACUGACGCUGAUGUGCGAAAGCGUGGGGAUCAAACA